rnacentral:rRNA from 1 species
AAUCAACGCUGGCGGCGUGCCUAACACAUGCAAGUCGAAACGAGAAAGGGGACUUCGGUCCCUGAGUACAGUGGCGCACGGGUGAGUAACACGUGACUUAUCUACCCUCGAGUGGGGAAUAACUUCGGGAAACCGAGGCUAAUACCGCAUAAUACCCACGGGUCAAAGGAGCAAUUCGCUUGAGGAGGAGGUCGCGGCCGAUUAGUUAGUUGGCGGGGUAAUGGCCCCACCAAGACGGUGAUCGGUAUCCGGCCUGAGAGGGCGCAUGGACACACUGGAACUGAAACACGGUCCAGACUCCUACGGGAGGCAGCAGUGGGGAAUUUUGCGCAAUGGGGGAAACCCUGACGCAGCAACGCCGCGUGGAGGAUGAAGUCUCUUGGGACGUAAACUCCUUUCGAUCGGGACGAUUAUGACGGUACCGGAAGAAGAAGCCCCGGCUAACUUCGUG